UUAUGGCGGCUGUGCGUGGGAGGGCUUCGGCCCUGCCGGUUUUACCUUUUGGACCGGUUCGCCAACCUGCGUACAGUCGCCCCCA
rnacentral:antisense_RNA from 1 species